GCUCAGCAACAUACCAUGAACAAAACAAGAAUUAGAAAUAUUAAUUACUGAGUUGUUUGCUAUUGGUUCAGAUAAUCUGUUGCUGAGAAAUAUGUGCGUCCUCUUCCUCAUUCCAAGUUAAAGUCAAUCGUUUGUCUGGACGGUGAGGAGCCAAAUUAUAUAUUUGGGAAAUUUGCAUUUGUGAAAAGAUGAUAUGUGGUACACAAGAUACUUGACGAAUCGCAGAGGCAAAGAGGAUGGUUGGGUGGCGAGGCAUCACUUCUUGCAAGGCUUUCUGUGAAAGAACUUAUACCAACAAAGGAGCCAUAACUGAAAAUUAUCGCCAAGCUGAAAAGGAUUGUUCCUAGGGCUCAUCUGUUGUCUCUAAGGAGGGAAGUAAAACAAUAACUAAAGAACUAUAUCAUGUUGCCGAAUGCUGCUCUAAGAGUUCACAACCUCGAAUUUUGAAGAUGCUUUCCAGAAAGGACCAAUAAGGUGAUGAAUUGUCGACAGAUGAAUGGUGGAAGCAGUUGAAAGAUGCAAGAAAAAUUCAAAGUUCUGUAGAGUGAUUUAUUGCUAAACUUACCCCGCCUUUGACAUCUUUAGUUUGUCUUUCCCUUCAAAUCACCAAAACAAAUGAGCUUAAUAUUCAUCUAUA